GGGUGCGAUCAUACCACCACUAAUUCACCUAAUCGCAUUCGAACUCUGCAGUUAAGCGUGCUUGGGCGAGAGUAGUACUAGGAUGGUGACCUCCUAGGAAGUCCUCGUGUUGCAUCCC
rnacentral:rRNA from 1 species